AGAGAAUCGAUCCCUGGUUCCUAAGUGAGUCCAAAGAAGGAUUGAACCUACUUGGGAGAAUUGCGGGAAUUUCAUUUCAACCUCAAAGAGACUUAUCUCCAAGUGGACUCACAGCUCCCUCCAACUAUGAACCCAACACCGAUGUCACGGCAGCAUCGAUGGAGAGGUCGUUGGGGAUGCCUUUCAACUUACUUGGGCGCGGCACAUCAAAGUGAGGUAAAGGUUAGGGCGGAAACUUUCUUCUUAAGAAGAGUGAGUAGAG